CGCUGAUCAACUCUCCGCCUGUACCUUUGCCCUUCCAAGGAGAGUUCCACCCCAUUAACCAAGCAGGAAUUUUAUCCAAAGACUGCUUCUGUUCCUUAACAUCACGUACAAGGACUUCUAAUCGAACAGCAAAGGCUUCUAGCUCCCUGAUUCUUUUCUUUGUAGGAGCACGAGUUCCAUGCCGCGCCACAAGAUUCAAAUGAAUAGGUG
rnacentral:misc_RNA from 1 species